CCUACGGUGGCUGCAGUGGGGAAUAUUGGGCAAUGGGCGCAAGCCUGACCCAGCAACGCCGCGUGAAGGAAGAAGGCUUUCAGGUUGUAACCUUCUUUUAUGAGGGACGAAAGAAAUGACGGUACCUCAUGAAUAAGCCACGGCUAACUACGUGCCAGCAGCCGCGGUAAUACGUAGGUGGCAAGAUUUAUCCGGAUUUACUGGGGGUAAAGGGCGUGUAGGCGGGACUGCAAGUCAGAUGUGAAAAUUAUGGGCUCAACCCAUAACCUGCAUUUGAAACUGUAGUUCUUGAGUGAUGGAGAGGCAGGCAGAAUUCCGUGUGUAGCGGUGAAAUGCGUAGAUAUAAGGAGGAACACCAGUGGCGAAGGCGGUCUGCUGGACAGCAACUGACGGUGAGGCGCGAAAGCGUGGGGAGCAAACAGGAUUAGAUACCCCGGUAGUC
rnacentral:rRNA from 1 species